rnacentral:lncRNA from 1 species
UGUGGCUUGGAUCUCAUGUUGCUGUGACUGUGGCGUAAGCCAGCAGCUAUAGCUCUGAUUUGACCCCUAGCCUAGGAACCUCCAUAUGCCGUGGGUGCAGCCCAUUUUAGGCCAAAAAAAAAAAAAAAAAAAAAAAGUCACGAGGGAAAUGGGCCAGACAGGAUCUCCCAGCCGCCAAGAAGAGCGUAUCACAUAAGAGCAAACACCUUCCCUUUCUGAUCCUGCCUGUGGUGGAGUCGAGCAGGAGAGUCAAGCCAGGAACCGGGGCGGAUGAGGGGUGGCUCCCCCAGAACAGAAAGAGGUAAAACCCGUAAGAAAAGGGAGGAUAGAGGAGGAAAAGCCCCACUGUUUCAAGAUGCCAGAAAGUGGUCACAGAAAGUGGUCAGAAACGCUGUUAAAGUGGGAAGAAAACUCUUUGAGGAGCGUUAAAGCCUAGGGAGCUUUAAAAAAGAAAAAACAAAAAACAAAAACCCACCAAACCCCCCAUUGUUCCCACACGUUUAGUGACAAGCACAGCCGUUACAAACACAAGUGAGGAAAUGGGACUAAAAGCAGGGGAGACGCCCAACGCUCAAAGAAAUCUGUGAAGCCAGAGACGAGGUUACGAAGACAGAGAGGAAGUCCAGCGAGCAUCAGAGGGCAGCUGGGCAGAGAACGUUCCAGAAGUUAGGAUGGUGGACUUCACCCAUGCAGAGGACGCAGGUGCAGGUGAAAGGAUGCAGUAAGACGAUGGCGUCCUCGGGAGCUCUUUCCAAGGAUUUCAUGGACAUGUCCCGAGAGCUGCCUGCGGACCGUCCAUCAGCCGAGGCGGCCAAUUUGAGACGUAAAACCGACUGUGAGCAGCUCUGAGAUGAGGUAGCACUCCGUCUUCAAGCUGAGUUUACGUGAGGAGUCAGCCAGCCAAAGGCGUCCCAUCGCGUCCCUCUCUACAGCUGAGUCACCUGGGUGUCCUCCAGGCGAGGACAGAAUCCUUGGUCUGUUUGAUGGGCUGAACCGCGGGGGAGGAGAGCAGUUUGUUCCUUCCACGCGGGCAGAGGUCGGGGGUGGUCGGAGAAUGAAUAGGGAUGGAGGGGGU